rnacentral:rRNA from 1 species
AUUACUCCUACGGGAGGCAGCAGUGGGGAAUUUUGGACAAUGGGCGCAAGCCUGAUCCAGCCAUACCGCGUGAGUGAAGAAGGCCUUCGGGUUGUAAAGCUCUUUCAGCCGGAAAGAAAUCGCGUUGGUUAAUAUCCAGCGUGGAUGACGGUACCGGAAGAAGAAGCACCGGCUAACUACGUGCCAGCAGCCGCGGUAAUAAU